GGUUUCCGCUCUCUGACUGAAAAAGUGCUGCAGUAGCAAGUGUUUUAUCCCCGGCAGCCGCUUGCUCGUGCACAUCAGAGCCCACCUGAUGAGCUACUGAGACAGUGAAGUCAAUGGAAACCUGUUAUAAGACCAUUUUGUUCGUAUGGAGGAAUGCGGCGCCAAUCAAAAAAGUCCUCUUCAUCUUCUUGAUUGUGGAUGUGAAUUAAUGACUUUCAGGGCAAUGACCUUAAAAGGAAUUUCUAUUGAAAAUGCUUACGACAAAGCAACAAGAAAUAAUAAUUUCCUCCUGGUCCUUUUAAAGAUGUAAAUGACCCACUGUUGCAUGCUGGGAUUGAAGACAUUAAACCAUAAACAAAACACUUGAAAGUGAGCUGCACAUGUGGCUUGAGGGGAGAACAUCAUAUGGGGCAUGGCAUCACCAGCGAGUACCGUUAGUGCAAAUUGAAUGAAUAUGAAAUUGGUCUGCACAUUAUCAGAAUAACACAGCUUGUACUUUUGCAAGAAUGUCUAAAAUUAAUAGCACAACAUUUACAAGUCCAUUCCAUUCACAGAGGCACAGUCUCCAAUUUACAUUAGGCU